rnacentral:rRNA from 1 species
AGUGAACGCUGGCGGUAGGCCUAACACAUGCAAGUCGAACGGCAGCACAGUAAGAGCUUGCUCUUACGGGUGGCGAGUGGCGGACGGGUGAGGAAUACAUCGGAAUCUACUUUUUCGUGGGGGAUAACGUAGGGAAACUUACGCUAAUACCGCAUACGACCUACGGGUGAAAGCAGGGGAGCUUCGGACCUUGCGCGAUUGAAUGAGCCGAUGUCGGAUUAGCUAGUUGGCGGGGUAAAGGCCCACCAAGGCGACGAUCCGUAGCGGGUCUGAGAGGAUGAUCAGCCACACUGGAACUGAGACACGGUCCAGACUCCUACGGGAGGCAGCAGUGGGGAAUAUUGGACAAUGGGCGCAAGCCUGAUCCAGCCAUACCGCGUGGGUGAAGAAGGCCUUCGGGUUGUAAAGCCCUUUUGUUGGGAAAGAAAAGCAGCAGGUUAAUCCCCCGCUGUUCUGACGGUACCCAAAGAAUAAGCCCCGGCUAACUUCGUG